ACAAAGGUUCUAGUCCAUCAAUCCUAAAAACCCGUCAUUCAAGAAGCUCAUGCAGUUCCUGUCGUGAUGAUGUUCCCAAGGGAUGUCUGUUAAAAAACACAUAGAUGAGUAAAUAUCAUCAAGCUCUCUUCCUUUCUCAAUACAUGAAAAGCAGAGUCACUCAUGGUUUGCACAGAGCUGCAAUGCAUACUUAGCUUAAGCAUUCUUUAAACUAAUCCUAGAUCUUACCCAAUCGUCCGAGCAGCAGUAAGGGAAUCACAGGCAGCUCAAUCCUCAUGUGUCACAUAUGCUAUUUCUGUGAGUGGAUAAAAGUGAGAUCACAAUAGAUAGAUCGUAAAGUAUCGUGGGCAAAUUCACCCGCUUGGAGAGCCUUUGAUUUUCAACUGAAUACCAGUACUCGUAUCAUUCUACGUGAUCAAGGAAUUGUACUUGUGAAAAAUCCAGAAUUUCACUCAGAAUUUGUUUCGCUUCUUGAUUGGGAUAAUCAGAUCUCGUGUAGAAGGC
rnacentral:sRNA from 1 species